CCAGCUCUUUUGAUGGAUGAUUGAAUCUGUGGGAAGUUAUCAGAAUAUGUGGCAAUGACUGAUGAGAUGACAACUUCAAUGUAGUCCCAUAUCUCCUUGAUGAACUCAACCGGUUUGGCUUGUAUACCAUCAACAUGUUGUGAGAGGAUUGCUAAGAAAGAAGAUCUUGCCAGGCGGGCGGUACAAUGCAUGCUUUGAUCAUCAGGGUAUUCAGAGAAGUCUCCUUGGACGAGAAAUCUUAAAAGAGACUCUUUUGCUGAGCCUAUGAUAUCCAUUAGUGCCAUCAAUGCUUCUCCAGUAGAAGCCAUUACUAUGGGAAGCUUGUUAAACUCGAGGAUACUGAACUCCAUCUUCUCGUUGAUUUUUCUUUCGAUUUCAGGCAAACACCGGGAGAUCAUCAUUCCUUGGAUCUGUGUCAACUUGUGAGCUAAAACGGGGAUGCCUACAAUCUCCUCAUCGAUCAUGGAAAGCAUUGGAUGGGUCUUGAAGAGUAACUCUUCUUGAAUCCGGGCUUCUUCGAGCCCUUCAGGAGCCAUGUCUGCCUUUGUGACAACAGCCAGAGUCCUCUCACCGGUUUUGUCAACCUGCUUGGACAUCCGUAUUGACUCGCAAGUUGUGAAAUCAACUGUCGCUGACAGGACAUUGAGGAUGAUGGAUUCUUGUGGCUCGAUAUACUUCAUAACCAUCCCGGAAAUCUGUUCAUAGAUGUUUUCAGGCUGCCCAUUCACGGGAACACGGGUUAUUCCAGGGAGAUCAACCAUGGUGAUAUCUGGAACACCAGCCUUUUUCACGUGGAGCGUCAGGGGAGUGUCUGAAACACCUUUACCAGAACCUGCAACAUGAGGUUACACAAGUUCUUAUCAAAAUCAAGAACACCACUAUAACACUCAGUCCGAAGUUCCAUCAAAUAGCAAAGCCAAAACUAAUGUAACAUCAUGGAAAAAAAAACAAAAUCAGAUCACUUAAGAUCCACUAGGAGUUGCAGAAUCCUAUUGACACCUCUAGCACUAUUAUUCAGUUACAUAUAUGCAUAUGUAUUUUCAGGGACUUCUAUGUGAGUAGCUAGCUCGUUUGAAUGUCUAUGUAGAUAAAGGUGUUGUUUUCAUUUUUAGAAUCC